GAUGAACGCUGGCGGCGUGCCUAAUACAUGCAAGUCGAGCGAACAGACGAGGAUCUUGCCCCGCUGACGUUAGCGGCGGACGGGUGAGUAACACGUGGAUAACCUACCUAUAAGACUAGGAUCACUUCGGGAAACCGGAGCUAAUACCGGACAAUAUAUUGAACCGCAUGGUUCAAUAGUGAAAGACGGUUUUGCUGUCACUUAUACAUGGAUCCAGGCCGCAUUAGCUAGUUGGUAAGGUAACGGCCUACCAAGGCAACGAUGCGUAGCCGACCUGAGAGGGUGAUCAGCCACACUGGAACUGAGACACGGUCCAGACUCCUACGGGAGGCAGCAGUAGGGAAUAUUCCGCAAUGGGCGAAAGCCUGAUGGAGCAACGCCGCGUGAGUGAAGAAGGUCUUCGGAUUGUAAAACUCUGUUAUUAGGGAAGAACAAAUGUGUAAGAAACUAUGCACGUCUUGACGGUACCAAAACAGAAAGCACCGGCUAACUACGUG
rnacentral:rRNA from 1 species